rnacentral:rRNA from 1 species
UACGUAGGUCCCGAGCGUUGUCCGGAUUUAUUGGGCGUAGAGCGAGCGCAGGUGGUUUAUUAAGUCUGGUGUAAAAGGCAGUGGCUCAAGCAUUGUAUGCAUUGGAAACUGGUAGACUUGAGUGCAGGAGAGGAGAGUGGAAUUCCAUGUGUAGCGGUGAAAUGCGUAGAUAUAUGGAGGAACACCGGUGGCGAAAGCGGCUCUCUGGCCUGUAACUGACACUGAGGCUCGAAAGCGUGGGGAGCAAACAGG